rnacentral:rRNA from 1 species
AACGAACGCUUGCGGCGCGCCUAAUACAUGCAAGUCGAGCGAGAAAGUACUUCGGUAUGAGUACAGCGGCGGACGGGUGAGGAACACGUAGAUAAUCUGCCUUAAAGAGGGGGAUAACUAAUCGAAAGAUUAGCUAAUACCGCAUAAGACCACAGGGGCUUCGGCUCUAGGGGUUAAAGGAGCAAUCCACUUUAAGAUGAGUCUGCGUCCGAUUAGCUAGUUGGUAGGGUAAUGGCCUACCAAGGCAACGAUCGGUAACUGGUCUGAGAGGAUGACCAGUCACACUGGAACUGAGACACGGUCCAGACUCCUACGGGAGGCAGCAGUAGGGAAUAUUGCACAAUGGAGGAAACUCUGAUGCAGCGACGCCGCGUGAGUGAUGAAGGCCUUCGGGUUGUAAAACUCUGUGAUAAGGGAAGAUGAUGACGGUACCUUAUCAGAAAAGACCGGCUAACUUCGUGCCAGCAGCCGCGGUAAUACGAGGGGUCUAAGCGUUGUUCGGAAUCACUGGGCGUAAAGCGGGUGUAGGUGGCUCAGCAAGUUAGAUGUGAAAGCCCCGGGCUCAACCCGGGAAGUGCAUCUAAAACUACUGAGCUUGAGUACGGGAGAGGGAAGCAGAAUUCCUGGUGUAGUGGUGAAAUACGUAGAUAUCAGGAGGAACACCGGUGGCGAAGGCGGCUUCCUGGCCCAGUACUGACACUCAGACCCGAAAGCGUGGGUAGCAAACAGGAUUAGAUACCCCUGUAGUCCUAGCUGUAAACGAUGGACACUAGGUGUUGCGCGUAUCGACCCGUGCAGUGCCGUAGCUAACGCGUUAAGUGUCCCGCCUGGGGAGUACGCACGCAAGUGUGAAACUCAAAGGAAUUGACGGGGGCCCGCACAAGCGGUGGAGUAUGUGGUUUAAUUCGAUGCAACGCGAAGAACCUUACCAGGGUUUGACAUCCCUCGAAUCUCGGCGAAAGUUGAGAGUGCCUUCGGGAGCGAGGAGACAGGUGGUGCAUGGCUGUCGUCAGCUCGUGUCGUGAGAUGUUGGGUUAAGUCCCGCAACGAGCGCAACCCACGUUUCCGGUUGCCAGCAUUAAGUUGGGGACUCUGGAGAGACUGCCGGUGACAAACCGGAGGAAGGUGUGGACGACGUCAAGUCAUCAUGCCCCUUACAUCCUGGGCUACACACGUACUACAAUGGUUAGGACAAAGGGCAGCGAAGCCGCGAGGUGGAGCAAAACUCAUAAACCUAGCCUCAGUUCAGAUUGCAGGCUGCAACUCGCCUGCAUGAAGGAGGAAUCGCUAGUAAUCGCAGGUCAGCAUACUGCGGUGAAUACGUUCCCGGGCCUUGUACACACCGCCCGUCACACCAUGGGAGUUGGCCACGCCCGAAGUCGUUACCCUAACCGUUCGCGGAGGGGGACGCCGAAGGUGGGGCUGAU